GGAUUAAGAGCUUGCUCUUAUGAAGUUAGCGGCGGACGGGUGAGUAACACGUGGGUAACCUGCCCAUAAGACUGGGAUAACUCCGGGAAACCGGGGCUAAUACCGGAUAACAUUUUGAACCGCAUGGUUCGAAAUUGAAAGGCGGCUUCGGCUGUCACUUAUGGAUGGACCCGCGUCGCAUUAGCUAGUUGGUGAGGUAACGGCUCACCAAGGCAACGAUGCGUAGCCGACCUGAGAGGGUGAUCGGCCACACUGGGACUGAGACACGGCCCAGACUCCUACGGGAGGCAGCAGUAGGGAAUCUUCCGCAAUGGACGAAAGUCUGACGGAGCAACGCCGCGUGAGUGAUGAAGGCUUUCGGGUCGUAAAACUCUGUUGUUAGGGAAGAACAAGUGCUAGUUGAAUAAGCUGGCACCUUGACGGUACCUAACCAGAAAGCCACGGCUAACUACGUGCCAGCAGCCGCGGUAAUACGUAGGUGGCAAGCGUUAUCCGGAAUUAUUGGGCGUAAAGCGCGCGCAGGUGGUUUCUUAAGUCUGAUGUGAAAGCCCACGGCUCAACCGUGGAGGGUCAUUGGAAACUGGGAGACUUGAGUGCAGAAGAGGAAAGUGGAAUUCCAUGUGUAGCGGUGAAAUGCGUAGAGAUAUGGAGGAACACCAGUGGCGAAGGCGACUUUCUGGUCUGUAACUGACACUGAGGCGCGAAAGCGUGNGGAGCAAACAGGAUUAGAUACCCUGGUAGUCCACGCCGUAAACGAUGAGUGCUAAGUGUUAGAGGGGUUUCCGCCCUUUUAGUGCUGAAGUUAACGCAUUAAGCACUCCCGC
rnacentral:rRNA from 1 species